GGAUCCAUAGCUCAGCUUGGAUAGAGCACCGCGGUCCUAACGCGGGGGUCGCAGGUUCAAAUCCUGCUGGAUCCG
rnacentral:tRNA from 1 species